GCUAGACAGAGUCUCUAAAAAAGACUGCUGAGCUCAGAAAGCUGAGGUGGGAGGAUUGCUUAAGUCCAGGAAUUCUGGGUUAUAAUGCACUAGGCAUCUGCACUAAAUUUGGCAUCAUGUGGUGACCUCCCAGGAGCAGGGAACCAGACCACCUGGUUGCCCAAGGAGGAGUGAACUGGCUCAGGUCAGAAAUGGAGCAAGUCAAAACUUCCAUGUUGAUCAGUAGCAGUAUCAUACCUGUGACUAGCUCUGCACUGGAGCAACAUAGUGAGAUCCCAUUUCU
rnacentral:SRP_RNA from 1 species